CUUGGAUCUCAUCCUUACUUGGAUAACUGUCGAAAUGCGAGAGCUAAUACAUGCAAGAAGCCCUGACCUAACGGGAUGGGUGCACUUAUUAGAGCAAAACCAAUCGGCUUCGGCCGUCACAUUGGUGAAUCUGAAUAACUGAGCGGAUCGCACUGGUCCUAGUACCGGCGACAUAUCCUUCAAGUGUCUGCCUUAUCAACUUUCGAUGGUAGUUUAUAUGCCUACCAUGGUUGUAACGGGUAACGGAAAAUCAGGGUU
rnacentral:rRNA from 1 species